ensembl:misc_RNA Metazoa_SRP Metazoan signal recognition particle RNA
GCUGGGCGUGGUGGCGGAUGCCUGUAAUCUCAGCUCCUUGGGAGGCUGAGACAGGAGGAUCACUUGAACUUGGGAGGCAGAGGUUGCAGUGAGCUGAGAUCACGCCACUGCACUCCAGCCUGGGUGACAAAGCGAGAUUCUGUCUCAU